UACUUAGUGUCUAUUAUAAUGUUGAUGGA
rnacentral:piRNA from 1 species